AGCGCAGGCGGUUUGUCAAGUCAGAUGUGAAAGCCCACGGCUCAACCGUGGAAGUGCAUUUGAAACUGGCAGACUUGAGUAUCAGAGGGGAAAGUGGAAUUCCCGGUGUAGAGGUGAAAUUCGUAGAUAUCGGGAGGAAUACCGGUGGCGAAGGCGACUUUCUGGCUGAAUACUGACGCUGAGGCUCGAAAGCGUGGGGAGCAAACAGGAUUAGAUACCCUGGUAGUCC
rnacentral:rRNA from 1 species